rnacentral:rRNA from 1 species
UACGGAGGGUGCGAGCGUUAAUCGGAAUUACUGGGCGUAAAGGGUGCGUAGGUUGGCAUUUAAGUUAGUUGUGAAAUUCCUGGGCUCAACUUAGGGAGGUCAACUAAGACUGAUUGCCUAGAGUAUAGGAGAGGGUAGUGGAAUUUCCGGUGUAGCGGUGAAAUGCGUAGAGAUCGGAAGGAACAUCGGUGGCGAAGGCGACUACCUGGCCGGAUACUGACACUGAGGCACGAAAGCGUGGGGAGCAAACAGG